UUAUGCUUCUGUUGUCUUAGCAUUCCCCCAACCUCUUCCCAAGUCUUUUCAAGACCCCCACCCCUUACUGGGUUGGGGAUUGGGAUGCCGAUAGGGCAAUGGUGGGAUUUUCAGAAUGCCCUCCAUCACCCUUCUAAAUAUCCUUUCUGAAGUCCAGACCCCUAUUUCUUCCCCCUCAGCAACCCCCCCCGCCCCCCGUCCCCCACCCCCCACCCCUUGCUGACGCACUGAGAGGCUGCAGAGUUUAUGGACAUUUCUUUCUGGGAAAAUAAAGCUGCCUGAUGGAGCUGACAAGCCACUGGUGGCUUUGGAGAGAAAGCACGCUCAUAAUAGGGAGGAGGAGAAGAAUCUUCCAAUCACCGGCCGCAAUUAGGGCUCCUCCACCACUCACCCCGCUUCCCCAUGAAUGAACAUUGACGUCAAUCGGGCGGAGAAGACCCCCCCAUGUGAUCUACUGGCUCCUCUUUAUAAAGAGGCGGGGCGGGCGCUGUCCAGCGUGCUGAAGCUUGGGGAAGCAAGCUAGCGGGAGAGACGGAGAAUCGACCACGCGAAGAGAGACCAGCUGGAAACUGACCGAGGCGACAGUCGAACGCAGCUCAGGGACCGAAACUCGGAGCAUCUCCUACCUCAAAAUCCCGACCCUUCCCAUUCCUCGAAUCCUAGCUGAGUGGAAAUCAUUCUUUCCCCAGU
rnacentral:lncRNA from 1 species